UGAUCUUGGGAUGCUUGAACAUGCGGUCCUGCAAGAUACGCUCGGCGCGCAGGCUGUCGCGGCGAUGAACCAGCGUGACAUGCGAGGCGAAGUUGGUGAGGAACAGUGCUUCCUCNNNNNNNNCGGGGGGGGGUGUGGCCGCCGCCAACCACGAACACCUCCUUGUUGCGGUAGAAGAAGCCGUCGCAGGUCGCGCAGGCCGAGACGCCGAAGCCCUUGAACUUCUC
rnacentral:misc_RNA from 1 species